rnacentral:lncRNA from 1 species
UGCCCUCGGAUCCUCCGGCGAAGACUUCCACCGGAUGCCCCGGGUGGGCCGGUUGGGAUGAGACUGGACCACCCCGGACCGUGCUGUUCUUGGGGGUGGGCUGACGUACGGGGUGGACUGGCGGCCCCAGCAUUGUAAAGGCACACAGAUGAGACGCGUGAGAGGGAGAAACAGCUCAAUAGAUACUGCUGACCUUCAUUUGUGGAAUCCUCAGUCGUCUACACACAAGACAGUACGCAGGCUGAGUAAAACCCACCCCACCCUCCACCCGUUGGCUGACGAAACCCCUUCUCUACAAUGGAUGAAAAAGAUGAUCUGGGCCGGGCACGCUAGCUCACGCCUGUCAUUCCGGCACUUUGGGAGGCCGAGGCCGGUGGAUCGCUUGGGGCCGGGAGUUGGAGACCAGGCUGGCCGACGUGGCGAAACCCCGUCUCUACUGAAAAAUAGAACGAUUAGCCGGGCCUGGUGGCGUGGGCUUGGAAUCACGACCGCUCGGGAGACUGGGGCGGGCGAGUUGUUCCAACCGGGGAGGCCGAGGUUGCGAUGGGCUGAGAUCGUGCCGUGGCGAUCCAGCCUGGAUGACGGAGCGAGACCCCGUCUCGAUACAAUCAUGAUGUUAUUAUAAGAUGAGUUGUGCGCGGUGAUGGCCGCCUGUAGUCGCAGCUACUCGGGAGGCUGAGAUG